rnacentral:lncRNA from 13 species
AAAAAAAGUUAUGUUUCAGUGGAAUGACUUUGAGGUGGAAUGAUUACUCGGGUUGAUUGCACAAUUUGAGAGCGGCCAAUCACAUGUUCCAAUGCCAUUUUAGUUAAUCAUUGCCUAUUGACACAUUUGAUUAUAUUAAUUAUUCCACACAAGUAAAUGUUUACAUGAAAUACAUCCACCCUCUACUCUGAAAUGACCCUUUGUCUCCUUUCUCUCUUUGAAGGUGAAUGGCCAGAGAAGGCUCCUGCCUUUGACUCUCCAUUCUGGCUCGGUGAAGAUCCAUCAGAGCAGUCUGUCCUCGGUCGUUGACACCAGCUUCGGCCUCCAUGUCAAAUACGACUGGUUCUACUACAUCCUGCUAAGCCUGCCCAGGAGAAGCUCUGACGUGUGGCAACAACCAUGGCAACAAGGACAAUGACCUUCGCAUACCAGAGGGUGCUACUGCUAUGGAUGAGGCGGCCUUCGGCUGGAGCUGGAGGAGGGUCUUGGACUAGGAGGGUCAGUCCUGCCAUGUGGACUGUGGAGGUCCCUGCUCCGACACGGAUCUACAGUACAGUAAGGAAAGCUCCAGGACGUCUGGGAUCUGGUCGCAGCAAAACCCUUUCAGUUGGUGCCAUGAUGUGGUGGACCCUAGGGUCUAAUGUCAUCAGUAAGGGCAAGAACCAGGACGUCCUGUGCCAGACUCUGCAGGCCUACACAGGUGCUUGUCAGUCCUCCCAGGUUCCCAUCAAUCCAUGAAGGAGCAGCACCUUCUGCCACAGAGCCUGUCCAAAAGGCACAAGCUACACCUAACACUCCUCUGGUCCUACUCUCAUCUGCGAAUGUUGGCUCAACAAAACUGUGGCGCUGCCUGCAGACCACUGGGAGAACUGCUUCUGUGAUCCAGGCCUGGUGCUCAGUGGCACCCUCUGUGUCCAGCCCGAGGACUGCGGCCACUUCCACCAUGAAGAGUCCCUGGUGUUGUCCUGUGAGAAGAGAUGUGCGUUCCGUGCAGGUGGACACGUCUUGCCAUAAAAUAUCCAAUUGGGAGGGGGAGGAGUGUGGUGUUCAGAAGGGAGUACAUGGCAGCUACCCAAGGCCCAGAGUGGCACACUGUCUAGCUUCUUAUGGCUGAGGGGCAGUAUUGCGUAGCUUGGCUGAAUAAGUUGCCCAAAGUAAAUGGCCUGCUCCUCAGUCUCAGUUGUUAAUAUAUGCAUAUUAUUAUUAGUAUUGGAUAGAAAACACUCUAAAGUUUCUAAAAUUGUUUGAAUGAUGUCUGUGAGUAUAACAGAACUCAUACGGCAGGCAAAAUCCUGAGAAGAAAUCAAAACAGGAAUUCUGUUUUGUAUGUAUUCACCAGAGUCCCCAUUGAAAUCCCCCUGAGAUAUUAAUGUUGCACUGCCUAGGGGUUCCACUAGAUGUCAACCAUCUAUAGAAAUUUGAAUGAGACAUCUAUGGUGUUGUGGGAGUGAAUGAGAGCAGAAUCUAUCAGGUGUCUGGCAGUCAGCCAUUUUCUGAUCAUGCUUAUUCCUCAUGGUAUCCACUUGUGUCCCAUUGCUCAUGAAGACACAAAGGAAUACUCAGCUUGAAACUUUAUUGAAGCUAUAUGUUAAAAACAUCCUAGUGAUUGAUUCUGUACUUAGUUUGAAAUGUUUCUUCAGCCUGUAAUAUAACUUUUUGAAGUUUUUGUCCGAUGUAACGCUGACCAGAAUGAGCGUUUGGAUAUGUAUACCAAACGCGCUAACAAAAUAAGGUAUUUGGACAUAAAUAACGGACAUUAUCGAACAAAACAAACAUUUAUUGUAGACCUGGGAUUCCUGGAGUGGUUUCUGAUGUAGAUCAUCAAAGGUAAGGGAAUAUUUAUCAUGUCAUUUCUUGUUUAUGUUGACGCCAUCAAUGCGGCUAUUGUGACUUUUAAUUCUGAGUGCUGUCUCAGAUUAUUGCAUGAGUUUCUUUUUCUAUAAAGUUUUUUUUAAAUCUGUCAGAGGUUGCAUUAAGGAGAGGUAUAUCUAUAAUUCCAUGUGUAUAACUUGUAUUAUAAUCUACAUUUAUGAUGAGUAUUUCUGUUGAAUGAUGUGGCUAUGCAAAAUCACUGGAUGUUUUUGGAACUAGUGAAUGUAAUGUGCCAAUGUAAAUUCAUAUUUUGAUAAAUAUGAACUUUAUCAAACAAAACAUACAUGUAUUGUGUAACAUGAAGUCCUACGAGUGUCAUCUGAUGAAGAUGAUCAAAGGUUAGUGAUUAAUUUUCUCUCUAUUUGUGGUUUUUGUGACUCUGGCUGGAAAAUCUUUGGCUGGAAAAAUGGCUGUGUUUUUUCUGUGGCUAUGUGGUGAUCUAAUAAUUGUUUGUGGUGCUUUUGGUGUAAAGCAUAUUUGAAAUCGAACACUGUGGUGGGAUUAACAACAAGAUUAGCUUUAAAAUGGUAUGAGAUACAUGUAUGUUUGAGGAAUUUUAAUUAUGAGAUUUUUGAUGUUUUGAAAUUGACGCCCUGCGCUUUCACUGGCUGUUGUCAUAUCGCUCCUGUUAUCGGGAUUGCAGCCAUAAGAACCUAGUGGAUGGCAGAUCCCACUACAACACGUUUGACGGGCAGGCUUUUGAGUUCCUUGGGACGUGACUACAUCCUGCUCCAUACCUGCCAGCUGCACUCUUAAACUGUUGAGGAGUUUAUGGUGGCUUUGCAUCAUGGCAGUGAGAAUGCAUCCCGGGAAAUACACAUGGUCAUCAUAGGAUGAAGAUGGUUCUCUGGCCAUCUUGGAGAGGUUCAGGUAAAGGAUGAGUUUCACCAUCAGCAUUAAUGUUUUAUGUUGUUUGAUGCAGAUACUGCCUUUUUUUCUUGUAUUAUUUUACAAAUUAACUUUACAUAUUCAGGAUAGUGAUCAACUUUCCCUUUUCCCCCAGGUCAAUGGAGUCCUUGAGAACCUGCCCUUCUCCCACAGUGAUGCGAGUCUGCAUCAGAAUGGUCAUUUGGUAACCAUCCAGGACCUUGGGUCAGUCCAGGUCAUCUCCAGUCUACACAACCUGCUCCUGGUAAAUAUCUCAGACUCAUCCUACUAGAGUAUGGCCUGUGGGGGAACUACAACAAUGACCCCAUGGAUGACCUACAGGUGCCCAACGGAACCCUGACCUCUGACCCCGAUGGGUUGUGUGUCGUCUGUUGACAUGGGUCAUGUGCAGGCCUGCGUCCCCCUGCAGUGAUUGGUUUGGGGCUAACUGCCCCCUCUGUCAGUGCCCCUGCAUGGCUGUGAGCUCUACUGUGGCCUACUCACACUGCCUGGUGGCCCCUUCACCCCCUGUCACUCUGUAGUCCAGCCACAGACCCACUACAUGGCUGAUCUGUGUGUGGCAGGGUUUCAGACACAGCAGCCGCUGUGUGAGCAGCUGCAGGCCUAUCAUGUGGAGUGUCAGGAGGCAGGGGUCAAGGUGGGCCCAUGGAGGAACCACACUGGCUGUGGUAAGUUUCCCCUCUGACAGAAAAUGGCAUCAUAUUGCUCAAAUGUGUCCCUAACAAUGCAUUCAAUCUAUAAAACUCAGCUGAUUGCCCUUUAAUAAUUAGAAUACGGAAACUUAAGCUAAAUAUAUAUUCUCAUUAAUGGAGCCAAAUAAGAUGCCAUAAAUGUCUAAUUAGUCAUCUAGGUCUUCACUGGAGAUCGGUUUAAACAUUGUGGGCCAAAUGCCAUAAAACUCUCCUUCCGUGGCCUCCAAUUGCUCUUAA